rnacentral:ncRNA from 1 species
UAAAAGACAGUGAAGAGAAGAGUAGGUAUAAGAUGGAGUUUCAGCGAGCUGGUGAUGGUGGGAGACCAGUACAAAGUCUAUACUGAAGAACAUCUCGGAGUUUCUAACCGAAAUCUUUUAAGAGAGUAGGCUUAGACGGAGCCAAUCCGUUAUCAAAUUGGACAGUAUCGAGUAAUGUACAUUGCUCCGUACUGAUAAGAGAGAGCUUAAUUUGGCUAAUGAGGGUGGUACCGCGGAAGAUAUGCCUUUCGUCCCUAAU